ACAGUUCUCGCAAAAUCUUUAGAAAUAAGAGGGUUUUAGUGAUUUUACCCAAACGAUAAGAAGAAAAGUGAUGAUAAGGUGAAUGAAAGGAACUCAUUGCAUUCUUUU
ensembl:ncRNA F09G8.13 ncRNA